rnacentral:rRNA from 1 species
UACCAGCACCCCGAGUGGUCGGGACGUUUUAUUGGGCCUAAAGCAUCCGUAGCCGGUUCUACAAGUCUUCCGUUAAAUCCAACUGCUUAACAGGUGGGCUGCGGAAGAUACUAUAGAGCUAGGAGGCGGGAGAGGCAAGCGGUACUCGAUGGGUAGGGGUAAAAUCCGUUGAUCCAUUGAAGACCACCAGUGGCGAAGGCGGCUUGCCAGAACGCGCUCGACGGUGAGGGAUGAAAGCUGGGGGAGCAAACAGG